rnacentral:rRNA from 1 species
CACGUAGGGGGCAAGCGUUGUCCGGAUUUAUUGGGCGUAAAGAGCUCGUAGGCGGCUCGGUAAGUCGGGUGUGAAACCUCCAGGCUCAACCUGGAGACGCCACCUGAUACUGCUGUGGCUAGAGUCCGGUAGGGGAGUGUGGAACUCCUGGUGUAGCGGUGAAAUGCGCAGAUAUCAGGAAGAACACCCGUGGCGAAGGCGGUUCUCUGGGACGGUACUGACGCUGAGACGCGAAAGCGUGGGGAGCGAACAGG